GACGAACGCUGGCGGCGUGCUUAACACAUGCAAGUCGAACGCUGAAGCACCAGCUUGCUGGUGUGGAUGAGUGGCGAACGGGUGAGUAAUACGUGAGUAACCUGCCCUUGACUCUGGGAUAAGCCCGGGAAACUGGGUCUAAUACUGGAUGCUACAUGUCACCGCAUGGUGGUGUGUGGAAAGGGUUUACUGGUCUUGGAUGGGCUCACGGCCUAUCAGCUUGUUGGUGAGGUAAUGGCUCACCAAGGCGACGACGGGUAGCCGGCCUGAGAGGGUGACCGGCCACACUGGGAAUGAGAAAAGGCCCAGACUCCUACGGGGGGCAGAAGGGGGGAAUAUUGCACAAUGGGCGAAAGCCUGAUGCAGCGACGCCGCGGGAGGGAUGACGGCCUUCGGGUUGUAAACCUCUUUCAGCAGGGAAGAAGCCACAAGUGACGGUACCUGCAGAAGAAGCGCCGGCUAACUACGUG
rnacentral:rRNA from 1 species